rnacentral:ncRNA from 1 species
AACAUGAAUCCUUUGAUGCUUCCUCAAACUCAAUUGGUGAAUCAUUUAAAACUUAAAAUCAUUCUUCUUGUCAUCUCCUUAAUUUACAAAUCAUGCUUGAAGGGAUUGACGGAAGGGCACCACCAGGAGUAAAGCAUGCAACUUAAUUUGAUUUAACGCAUGGAAACUUACCAGGUCUGGAUAUGACUGACAGAAUGAGAACUAUUUUUUAUUUAUUUAUGGGUGGUGGUGCAUGGCUGUUCUUAGUUGGUGGAGCGAUUUGUCUGGUUAAUCCUGUUAAGUAACUAUGUGGAAGCAUCCCUUUACAGUCGGUUUCUUAGAGGGAAGAUGUAUGUUUAAGCCAAGGAAGUUUGAGGCAAUAACAUGUUUGUGGUGCUCUUAGAUGUUCUAGGCCGCACGCCUGCUACACUGAUGUAUUCAAUAAGUUCACACCUUAGCCGACAAGUAUGAGUAAUCUUUGAAAUUUCAUCGUGAUGGAGACAAAUCAUUGCAAUUGUUGGUCUUCAACGAGGAAAUCCUAGUACGUAUGAGUCAUCAGAUCGCGUUGAAAGUCCUUGUCCUUUGUACACACCGUCCGUCGCUCCUACCGAUUGAAUGAUCCAGUGAAGUGUUUGGAUGCGGCGACGUGGAUAGUUCGCCAUCUUCGACGUCUCGAGAAGUCCAUUAAACCUUAUUAUUUAGAAGAAUGAGAAGUCGUACAAAAGCUUACAUCGGUGAACAUGCGGAAGAAUCAUUG